AUUUUUUGUUUUUCACCGUUCAACCAGAAAACCGUAAUUCAUGAAAACAAUUUUUACCAACAUUAAUUAUCAAUAACAACAAAGUGAUAUAAUGCUACAGAUGCAAUUAGCUCAGGGACCAGAAGACAUUCCGUCUGAGAACCAAUCUUGCCGUUAACGGAAAAAAUAGUCUAUAUUGGGAGACAAGAGACAGAAAUACCUCUGGCAGAAGGACCUCCCGCAAAGAUUGUUUUAAUCUUCUACCUAAUGCACCAAAAGAGAGAUUGAUUCCAGUAACACGCAGUUUUGGAUACUCCAGAUUCUGACUAUGAAUCCGAUUGUAACCGUGACUUCCUUUGAUCUACGAAAAUCUGCAGACAAAUUGGGCUACUUAAGUUUCUAUUAACGAAUAUACUGUCAGUACAAUAGAAGAUGUGCCAGCAACAGCGCUUCGGUUUAAAAGUUAAUCAAGCUCAGCUAGAACGUUUCCUGGAAUAGAGACGCGCAACACUUGAGACACUGGAACAGGUUGUUUCUGUUCUAAUUGCCUUGAUGUUUUGUUACUAAUGAGCUCUUGUACAGUGGGCCUCCCCGCGUUUUCUGUUGUUUGGCGUUGGUCUUCUCGAGCCCAUUGGUAAGGUUGAAGGACGCGUAAACCACCGCACAGCCUGAUUACCUUAAUGCCGUGUUUUGAAUUAACGGCGUUAAAAUUUCAAUCCAUUAACGAGAUAGCGCGAUGGCUUAUAACAAAUGACUUGUUAUUUUGGGUUCCUGGAGAGGAAAAACAGGAGGCAAAGAAGCACUCUAUUUUCAGAUGGUUGUCAUCUGUGGCGAAACAAAAACAAGAUAAUAUAUAAUAACAUCGAGGACAAAAACAAUGGUUCAAACUUAAAAAGCAAGAGGCUGCGGCCGGAAUAGUAAAUGUGUCUGAGAACGGAUAAGAAUAAAUCACACUGUGGGUGUUGGUUCUAUGGUUUCUAAAUUUUACUUCAUCGUCAAUUGAUCUUUACUUGAACUCUUUGCGAAAAAAAUUGUUGUUUUGUCUGAUAACAGAAUUGUCUUGGCAGUAAUUUUACGAUAGGAAAAAAUUGCAUUGUCCAAAUAUAACACAACAGAUGAUUAAGAUUUUUGGAAAAUUUAUUGCUUAUCUGUGUUUCUCAUUUUAGAUGAAGGAGUUUAUUAACUGCAGCGACUUAUAAACGGUUUGUUGUAUUUUUUAUUGAUAAUUAUUUAAACUCAUCAUAGAAACGCGAGGCAAAAUUAAUACUAUAUGAACCAUAUAUAGAAGCGUGUUUUUCCCCAACAACCUUUAGCAAAAAUACCCUUUCAACAAAAUAAAAUUCCAUGUAAAUCUGAUAAAAUUUUGUUGUCUUUGUCAAACAAUUAAUAAACAGUCAUCGUGAUCUUGAUUAUAUAAACGAUGUUUAUAUUUCAAGGUUCGAUCCUUCAAGGUGAACGUUCAAAACAUACCGUACCUGCGUCAGGAAUAUUAAGCAUUAUACAGGAAACUUGAAAAAGAAAAAAACCCAAAAAACAUACUUGACACAGAAUUAUGAAAUCCGAUAAACUGUCACAGAGAACCCGGCGUCCAUAAUUAAAGGUUGUUAAUUAUGGAUAUUUUACACUUAAUGAACGUUUGAUGAUUAUGAAUUUCAAUGCGAGUGGUGUUCAUGCACCUAAGUGCUGAUUCAUCCUCUGUAUGGUUAUAAUCACGUGUCAUUAAUUAAAAGCGGUUAUCUCUUUGGAUUCUUAUGCUUCGUUGUCAAACAUCAAAGCUGUUUUAUUUUAGUUUUGUACAAAAGGCUAUCAAAAAGAUGCCUUUUAUUAGACAUACCCGUUGUCGUCGAAGUAGUUUUGAAAUGACUGUUUGGUGCAAAAAAGAUAGCAAGUGGCGAACCUCCUUGACAACAUCAAAGAACAAGAAAAUAGACUGAUUAAUUUAUUUCAUGUUGUAGUUUGCGUAACAUAGACAAUAGAGUUGUUUUUUUUCCGAAAGUAUAUUUAAUGGAAACUCGUUCGGGUUUUCAUAAACUAUUGUAACCAAACAGAUUAUGUAAUCCUCAUAUGAUCACACAAAGAUUUCCACAAAACGAUUUCUUUUUUGCAACGAAUCGCCCAGAGCAUUUUUGAGGUGCAAGAGUUUGCGCCUGUUUCCUAAUUCUCUAAUUUAAAUUUAAUGCUUAUGUUGAACUAGCAUCCCAUCCGAGGCAAGGUGUCUGUUAGUCUUUCUUCUUGUUUUUUAUAAGUGGCUUUGAAAAUGUAUAUUUUGUAUGUUACAGUUUCAUUUCUUUAUUAAACAUUACAUAACCGCAGAAGUGCAUGAGUUCU